GUGGAUUAGAUACCCUGGUAGUCCACGCCCUAAACGAUGUCAACUGGUUGUUGGGUCUUCACUGACUCAGUAACGAAGCUAACGCGUGAAGUUGACCGCCUGGGGAGUACGGCAGCAAGGUUGAAACUCAAAGGAAUUGACGGGGACCCGCACAAGCGGUGGAUGAUGAGGUUUAAUUCGAUGCAACGCGAAAAACCUUACCCACCUUUGACAUGUACGGAAUUUGCCAGAGAUGGCUUAGUGCUCGAAAGAGAGCCGUAACACAGGUGCUGCACGGUGGUCGUCAGCU
rnacentral:rRNA from 1 species